AUUGAACGCUGGCGGAAUGCUUUACACAUGCAAGUCGAACGGCAGCACGGACUUCGGUCUGGUGGCGAGUGGCGAACGGGUGAGUAAUACAUCGGAACGUGCCCAGUCGUGGGGGAUAACGUAGCGAAAGCUACGCUAAUACCGCAUACGAUCUACGGAUGAAAGCGGGGGAUCGCAAGACCUCGCCCGAUUGGAGCGGCCGAUGGCAGAUUAGGUAGUUGGUAGGGUAAAGGCCUACCAAGCCGACGAUCUGUAGCUGGUCUGAGAGGAUGAUCAGCCACACUGGGGCUGAGACACGGCCCAGACUCCUACGGGAGGCAGCAGUGGGGAAUUUUGGACAAUGGGCGCAAGCCUGAUCCAGCCAUUCCGCGUGCAGGAUGAAGGCCUUCGGGUUGUAAACUGCUUUUGUACAGAACGAAAAGCCUUUGGUUAAUACCUGGGGCUCAUGACGGUACUGUAAGAAUAAGCACCGGCUAACUACGUGCCAGCAGCCGCGGUAA
rnacentral:rRNA from 1 species